GAGCCACUGCAAUCUCUAGCUUGGGCGACAGAGCAAGACCCUGUCUCAAACCAAAAAAAAAAAAAGUAAGUGACCUUGAGCAAAACCCUGCCCCUCUUAGAACCUCAGACUUGCUGUCUUUACACAGAAGACGGACUUCAAAGUCCCUACGACCUUGCCCGCCCGCAUCAGCCUGAAUUAGUUAGCGGGCUGGUUUCCCAAGGGCUCUGCGGGACACUGCAGCAUAGCAGCGCCGCGGCUGCCGAGGGGUUAAUACCGGUGGGCCCCGCCCCUUUUCUUGCCCCGCCCGACGGGCACCACCCCCGCUGGGGUUGUACCCUUGACCCCGCCUUCAGGCCGUGCGUCCACCGGAAGUGCCCGCGCGCAGGCAGCUCACUUCCGCCCGGCAGGUGACAGUCGCGGGGCUCCCAGCCGCCGGCAGCCCGGACGCGCCGGGAGAGUGUGAGGUGGAGGCCGCGGACAUUUUGGUGCCAAGUCGAACCGAGCCGUGACGCUGGGAGCCGUUGGGACCUGCGGGAGUCUGGCCACAGAUAAGGGACCAAAAUGACUGACU